rnacentral:lncRNA from 1 species
UGCACUUGACCUUCUUUUUCUUCAACAAUCGUUCUUGGUUGUGUCUCGGGAGGCUCUGCAAAACGAUUAUGAUCAGGUGAGUAGGAUCAUUUCAUUUUCUUUUUUUGUAGUUCUGUGAAUUGUUUCUGUGCUUGGUUCUGCAAAAUUGUUUUUGUUGAUAGAAUUUAGAUUGGUGAGUAGGAUCAUUUCAUUUUCUUUUUUUUGUAGUUCUGUGAAUUGUUUCUGUGCUUGGUUCUGCAAAAUUGUUUUUGUUGAUAGAAUUUAGAUUGGUUUAGAUUAGGGAAUACCUGUGAAGACUCUCUCUCACGCCCAUGUUUAGCGUGAAAUGGAUCCAAUACAAAGUGUGAUGAGAUCAGAAGCGAAUUUCCCGAUACAAUCUAUGACCCAUGAAACCAUUCCAAUGAGGAGGCAUGUGCCCCAUUG